AUACGUAGGUGGCAAGCGUUGUCCGGAAUUACUGGGUGUAAAGGGCGCGUAGGCGGGUUUACAAGUCAGAUGUGAAAAUCCGGGGCUCAACCCCGGAAUUGCAACUGAAACUGUAUAUCUUGAGUGUUGGAGAGGGAAGUGGAAUUCCUAGUGUAGCGGUGAAAUGCGUAGAUAUUAGGAGGAACACCAGUGGCGAAGGCGACUUUCUGGCCAACAACUGACGCUGAGGCGCUAAAGCGUGGGGAGCAAACAGGAUUAGAUACCCUGGUAGUCCACGCCGUAAACGAUGGAUACUAGGUGUAGGUGGUCACAAGCCAUCUGUGCCGCAGUUAACACAAUAAGUAUCCCACCUGGGGAGUACGGCCGCAAGGUUGAA
rnacentral:rRNA from 1 species